GAUGAACGCUGGCGGCGUGCCUAACACAUGCAAGUCAAGGAGAAGGUAACCUUCGGGGAACCGGAUACUGGCGCACGGGUGAGUAACACGUGGAUUAUCUACCCUUUACACAGACAUAACUCAGGGAAACUUGAGCUAAUAUCUGAUGAGGCCUCCGGGUCAAAGCUUCGGCGGUAAAGGAUGAGUCUGCGUCUGAUUAGCUAGUUGGUAAGGUAAUGGCUUACCAAGGCGACGAUCAGUAACUGGUCUGAGAGGACGAUCAGUCACACUGGAACUGAGACACGGUCCAGUCUCCUACGGGAGGCAGCAGUGAGGAAUUUUGGACAAUGGGGGAAACCCUGAUCCAGCGACGCCGCGUGUGGGAUGAAUGGGUUAUGCCCUGUAAACCACUGUCAGCAGAGAAGAAAAGGUUCCUUUGGAACCCGGGACUGUAUCUGCAGAGGAAGGACCGGCUAACUACGUG
rnacentral:rRNA from 1 species